CCACAGGCCUCUUCAAAGCAGCUCAGAGCCUGGGCUCAGAGGCUGGAUGCUGCCGCCUGGUUCCAGGCCCCGAAGGUCACGGGCCGGGAGGAGAAGCAGUGUGACCCCAGCGGCUCUCCUUUCUGAGGUCACACCUGCCCCCCAUACACCCCUUCACCUACACUCACACACUCCCCUGGCCCAGCCGUAUGCAGAGGGCCCACCUCCCACCACUGAGGCCUCCGCCAGUGCUGCCACCCUGCCCAGCUCUUGCGAGCCCCAUCUCUCCCUGCUGACCAGGAGGAGAGGGGAGAAGGGCUGAAAUCUGUGUGCCGCGGCCCUGGACUGCCCUCCGGGGAAGCAGCUCAGCCCUUCCAGGCUGAAGCGGGGGUUUCAAGGGAGGAACAUUCCCAAAGCCAGCCCAGGAGGCCUCAUGAGAGACCCUGGCGCCCCAGCACUGCGCUCUCUGCCUCUCCUGGAGCCUCCCCCGCAGCAGGCUAAGGCGGAUCCUGAGCAGCUUAUUCUGAAAAGGAUCACACUCAGGAAGCUGCGGUGGAGACGUAGCUUUGGGAAUCGAGCUGGAGCAGCAGCCAGGGACAGGCACCCAGAGAGGUCCUGGGCUCAUCUGGGGAAAGCUUGUAGCUCCGCCCCUGCCGUCCCCUGGGAAAAGCGGAAGAAGGAAACCAGGAUCCAACUGCUGAAGUUAUCCCCAGCUUACAGAUGAGAAAACUGAGGUCUUACACCAAUAAGCGCAAAUCAUCUGACUGCAGUGUCUGACCCACCCACUUUUGUGCCUCACAGUCACUGAGACAUACAUGCUGUUAGGGGCCACCCUGUGUCCCAGCUGCGCCAUAGUUUACAAGCGUUUUUUUCCAUUAAUUAUCCCCGCCGACAAUUUGAGUAUUAUCCCCUGUCUCGGGAACAGGACAACCCUAGAACCCAGGCUUUGAUCAGUGGCCCCAUGGGAAGACAGGCUGGGGGAAUGUGAGGUUCUUAGAAGGAGAGGCUGCUGGGGGCCAAGGCACGGGGCAGAUGAGCAUUAGUCAGCUAUCAGGCAGUGGGACCCUCAGCCUCAGCCUCCAGGAAGCGGUCCCCACCCAUCUGUGACCGUCUGGACCGGCGUCCUGUCUUUCGUUUCUACCUGGAGGCAAAAGAAUAAACUAGAAGCCUCCCUUCUGAUGCUGGGGAUGAGACGACUAAAAUAUAGCACCUUUGAAGGAAAAGGGAUUGUGAUCUGAUCUCCACGUGAUUUUGAACUAUUUAGAUUCUUUUUUAGGGAGAAAAUCAUUAACCAUUCCAAAAUAGCUGCCUUCGCGGAAGCAAUUCAGAUGGAAUGAAACAGAAUGCUCCAACCUACUCAGUUCACUUGCUCAUUCAUUCAGUAUUCUUCCAUCUGAGCCCGUUCCAGCCACAGAUUCCACUACAAGUGUUAAGUGAAUGGAAUGGAUGCUGUUCAGGGGAAGGGCCCAUAACUCUAGUGGAGAAAGGAUGUGGGGAAAGUUCCAGAAGAUGAGACUUCUGAGCCUCAGAAGCUCUGAGGGAAGAGAAAAGGGCAUCUCAGGCUGAAUGCAUGGUAUGGGCAAAGGAGACAUUCCAGAAACCCUCUGGACACCCACCUUGGCAAGACCCGGCCAGGGCCUCC
rnacentral:lncRNA from 1 species